rnacentral:rRNA from 1 species
GCACCACAAGAACGCGUGGAGCAUGUGGCUUAAUUUGACUCAACGCGGGAAAUCUUACCGGGUCCGGACACACUGAGGAUUGACAGGCAAUAUCUCGACUGUUUAAUAAUAACAGCCGUUUAUUAAUAAACGGUUUAUUAAACAGAUCGAGUGUUAAAUAUGCUAGUCCUUUCAUGAUUAUGUGAUAGGUGGUGCAUGGCCGUUCUUAGUUCGUGGAGUGAUCUGUCUGCUUAAUUGCGUUUCACUAAGGGCCCAUAAAUACAAGGUAUGUUAGCAAUCGUCGCUCUAUGGACCCCUUAUUUCAGUUUAUUAAUAAACUGUUAUAAGCGCGCGUCUUGUUUAAAGAGUUUAAGACACUGCGCAUGCUGUUGGGCUCUGAAAGCAACGAACGUGACCGCAACGUCUUGUUGCCUUAAUCAAGUCGGCUGUUUAAUCUGUUUAAUUAAACAGACAGCAGUCAUUAUAUGGCUUAUCCGAGGCUAUCUAAAACUAGACGAACCGCUGUUUCUUUUCUUAAACCAGAGGAAGGUUGCGGCAAUAACAGGUCUGUGAUG